UCAAGAUUAGGUUUUCCUAGUUUGAUUGCAAGUCUUACUCAGUCUACGACAUCAUGAA
rnacentral:tRNA from 1 species